CUUUCCCCCUUCCAGAGCCGGGCGGGAGGGGGACCCUGAGGGUGAGGGCACCCUCAGGGCACUAUAGUGCCAGGAAAACAAGUAUGUUUUCCUGGCACUAUAGUGGUCCUUUAAAGAUUUAACAAUUUACAUUACAAUCCAGUUAUUUCCAGGCACAGCCAGAGCACAUGAUGUAAAUGAGGAGACAUAGAAACAUUGCUUAAUGACAGAGCUUAUAACAAUGAUUGACACUGAGACAAUAUAGAGACGCCCCAUUUCAGGGUUCUACCUUUAAUUUUAUUUCUAUGCCUUACAAAUAAAUAUUUAGUAAAUAUAGACGAUAAGUAAACAUAAUAUUAAAAUCCUAAGAAGUGACAGUUUCCCUUUGUAUGCUUUGUUGUGCUGUAAGACCAAUGUGUUGCCAUCUUCUUUCACUUACUUGAAAGAGAAAUGACAGGAUUUAUUCAGUAAGCUGAGGGUUGUGAAAAACUUUUUUAGACGUUUUACAAAUUCUAUGCAAAAAUAGCUAUAUUGGAAAAAGUUAUUGCAGGGAAUACUGCUUGUACAUUCUUCGAUAUCCGUGUGCCUUGCCCAGUGAAAUAUAGAUGCCAGGUUUUAGCCAGGCAACUGUUUGCUGUAUGACGGCAUUAUGUCCAAACGUAGGAAUUAUUUUUAUAUUCUGGUUACAUUUCGAGAUUGUACAUUUCCAGCAAACUUCAGAAGAGUUAGACGUAAUCAAGAGCAGAAUAUUUUAACGUUUUAAUUUACGUAUUAGACUCCUUUCUACUCUCUAUUUUAAAGCUUCUUCUUACCUGUCCAUGCUAAAUUUUCUGAUCUGAGGAAUUUCAAGAUCAGGUAUACCAUAUAAUCUCUAAUAAUUUACUCUCCCUCCCAAAUAUUGCACUUCAUUUUUUUCCCCCCAUAAAAUUCUGUUUAUACUGAGGGACUUCAUUUUUUCAUUUUCCCCAUCCGAGCAGUAAAACAUCACUGUUUUUGUUGAGUAUUUCUAAAGAUUGGAUAUCAAUUUGGAAAAAUGUAAUAAAAGGUGUUUUUUCACUUAUUGAUUUUCUUGUUAAUAUUACAUGUUAACAUUUUAACAGUUGUAAAACUUACUAGUCUGAACGAGUUUGUAAUAAAUUCAAGAAGACGGAACUUUAUAUCUUGUGAAAAAUACAACUGGGGCAAUGUGUUCAAAAUCCUAAUGCAUUGACUGUAGAGGUAAUCCAUAAGCAUUGCUUAUAAAUAGCACGUUUUCUAUGGGUUUUUUUUCAUGCUUAAUAUUAUUGUUGCUGGAUUUUUGAUAGGCCGCUAGACACAUUAAAGGACCACUAUAGUGCCAGGAAAACAUACUCGUUUUCCUGGCACUAUAGUGCCCUGAGGGUGCCCCCACUCUCAGGAACCCCCUCCCGCCAGGCUCUAGGGGGAGGAAGGGGUUAAACUUACCUCUUUCUCCAGGGCCGGGCGGGGAGCUCUCCUCCUCCUCUCCGCCUCCUCUCCUUCUCUUUGGCUGAAUGCGCAUGCGCGGCAGGAGCUGCGCGCGCAUUCAGUCAGUCCAUAGGAAAGCAUUUAUAAUGCUUUCCUAUGGACGCUGGCGUCUUCUCACUGUGAAAAUCGCAGUGAGAAGCGCGGAAGCACCUCUAGCGGCUGUCAAUGAGACAGCCACUAGAGGCUGGAUUAACCCAUUUAUAAACAUAGCAGUUUCCCUGAAACUGCUAUGUUUAUAGAAAAAAGGGUUAAACCUAGCUGGACCUGGCACCCAGACCACUUCAUUAAGCUGAAGUGGUCUGGGUGCCUAAAGUGGUCCUUUAAUUCUUAGAACUAUUAAAGAGACAAUUAGGUCAAAAAACAAUUUAUGUAUAUCGUCAUAUCAAAAUGUUGACAAUAAACAUUUCUGAGUAUCAAUCAUUAACUACAAUAUUUUUUUAGCACAAGGAUAAACUGAAACAAGUUUAUUGUAGUGCAAGAAGUUAAAAUGGGCAUCUAAUAAUCAGAGAGGUCGUUAAUGAUCAUAUUGCCAGGAGUCCCACAAGAAAUAUUGUUUAAGAUCGGUUAGACCAGGUUCUUCCCGUCUACAUAUGCAGAAGCAAAAGUCUAUAUUAUGGAAUUAAUUUUGUGCAGCUUUGGACUUGGAUAUUAUUCAUUGGUUGAAAGGGUCAGAUAACCAGGGACUCCGGGCACCAUAACCACUGCAGUGAGCAUAUCUACAAAUAAUGUUCAUGGGAGUCAUGCAGUUCUUAAAGUAACAGCACAUGUAUUUUCAUAUAACUGUUGAAAUAAAGAAUCAUUUUUCAUUUUAAUGCCCUUUAAGGUUUAUGACGCUUUAAUUUUACAAUGAAGAGCUACUAUUACUGUUUCUUAUAUCAUUACUGUCCUAUUAGAAUGAAGAUAUUGUUACUCUUGUUACAAAGUAUUGGAAUAUCUGGCAGCUGUUGGGUGAAUGCUGACUGGGACAUUACAGAUGUUUUAUUGCAUGGUAGUAAGUUGUGUGAAAUACGAAAUAUGAAAAUGGCACAAUGUCAGUAUUGUAUUAUGUUGAAUUGUAUUGCACUAUGUUGUAUUUCUCAAAAAAAUAAAAAAAUAAUAAUAAAACUAUUUUUAAAAAGUA
rnacentral:lncRNA from 1 species